GCGGAAAGGGCCCGGCGGGGUGCAGGGUUAGGGCUUACCCCGGGCAGUCCUGGAGGGUCGGGGCACUAUGGGUACCACUUUCUUGAAACGGAGGUGAGCUCCUGGGGCCUGACAACCCCUACCCGGUGCCUCCUAGCCCGCCCUGCGUGGGAAACCGGCCUGAAGCCUUUCAAAUUUAAACAAAGCCAUGUCUGUGACCGUGGUUUGGAGUUAUCUAUUAGAGUCUGGUGGGCUCAUUACAGGGUACAAAACUGGAGGCAAUGUGCCCCUCCCACCAAGAAAUGGACAAUCUUCUAUUAGUGAAGCAUGGAGUCUCUCCCCACUUUGGGACACCAUCAUGCUUAGAGGGCCAUUUUCUCUUAUUCUUGCUAAUGGUGAAGUACUUAAAAACAAAACCAACCAGUCAAACAGACCCUUAAGGCAUUAAAGAAGAAUGGCUUGAGAUGACACCCUUUGAACUCUGGGAAGAUGAGUGAGACCAUCUUGAGACUGGGCUAUAAGGGACUGUUACUGCCACAGCCUGUUGAGAAGAUCACAGAGCUCUGAGGAAGAACGAAUCUGGCAGUAAAAUAAAGAUGAAGGUUGCAGCAGCCUCAAAGAUCUCUUAGAUCCACACCUAAUCCUCAGAAACUUGUUCUGGGGAAGGAGAGCUUGGACAAGAGAGAGAAGGAUCCAUCAGAUCCAUCGGAACUUUAGCCUUAACGUGGGAAGUUUUAGUUGGUUUUAGUUUCAUUACAAUCAGAAAGACCUAAAUAGAUCUAUCACCACUGAAGCUAAAAUGAUUUAAAUAAAUCUGUUAGGGAAGAACAGAGAGGAGUAAUGGCCUGAAACUUUGCUUAAAACUGAAAACAAAGUAACAUGAAAUAAAAAUAGAAAGGAAGGAAAGGAGGACAGGGUGUGUGUGUGGGGGGGGGGGAUUGUAUUGAUUAGUAUUGAUUAGUAUCCCAUUUAUCUGCUGAAAAAAAUCAACCUGGCCAAUACAACCUGGGUUAUAUAUUUUCUCCUACCCCUUGAAGUGAUAAAAUCCAAAGCUAUGCUCCUACAGCUCCAGACUAAACUGCUGUUCUUUUGAUACUUGGAAGAUGUGAUGGCUUGUAAUGGUUGGCCCAGGGAGUGGCACUAUUGGAGGGUGUGGCCCUGUUGGAGUAGUUGUGUCACUGUGGAUGUGGGCUUUAAUACCCUUAUCCUAGCUGUCUGGAAGCCAGUGUUCUGCUAGCAGCCUUCAGAUGAGAAUGCAGGACUCUCAGCUCCUCCGGUACCAUGGACAUGGAUGCUGCCAUGCUCCUACCUUGAUGACAAUGGACUUAACCUCUGAAUCUGUAAGCCAGCCCCCAUUGAAUGCUGUCCUUGUAACAGUUGCCUUCAAUCCAGUAAUACCUCUCCUGGGCAUAUACCCAGAAGAUGUUCCUGGUAAUAAGGACACAUGCUCCACUAUGUUCAUAGCAGCCUUAUUUAUAAUAUCCAGAAGCUGGAAAG
rnacentral:lncRNA from 1 species